ensembl:lncRNA novel transcript, antisense to RPH3AL
UGCACGGACCAGCCCGUCUGCAGCCUCGAGAGGGAACAGCACAGACGGCGUGGAGGCCUCCCCGGUGCAAACUCCGGCAGCCCCUACCACAUCCACCAAGCCCCCCCGAGAACAGUCAGUGGACGGCCCAGGUGCCGCGUGCCGGGACGACGAGCGCGGGCAGCAGAGAUGGCCCAGGUGGCAACAGAGAUGGCCCAGGUGGCAACAGAGACGGCCCAGGGAGAGAGUGGCAGCAGCAGAUCAAACCCCGGAGCCCCUGCCCUGGGUGGGUGCCAGCUUCCCUGAGACAUUCCGUGCCUGUGACAUUGCUGUGUGCAGAGAUGAACGAGACGGGAAAAGCCACUGCACCCUGAAGAACUACAAUAUGGUGGGGGUGGCAGAUGCCAAUCAAUGACACAGAUACCUAUUUAA